UACGGGGGGGGCAAGCGUUGUUCGGAUUUACUGGGCGUAAAGGGCGCGUAGGCGGCCACCGCAAGUCGGUUGUGAAAUCUCCGGGCUUAACCCGGAAAGGUCAAUCGAUACUGCGGGGCUAGAGUGCAGAAGGGGCAACUGGAAUUCUCGGUGUAGCGGUGAAAUGCGUAGAUAUCGAGAGGAACACCUGCGGCGAAGCGGGUUGCUGGGCUGACACUGACGCUGAAGCGCGAAAGCUAGGGGAGCGAACGGG
rnacentral:rRNA from 1 species